ACGGGAAAUCUCACCAGGCCCGGACACUGGAAGGAUUGACAGAUUGAGAGCUCUUUCUCGAUUCGGUGGGUGGUGGUGCAUGGCCGUUCUUAGUUGGUGGAGUGAUUUGUCUGGUUAAUUCCGAUAACGAACGAGACUCUGUCCUGCUAAAUAGUUUCAACGUCUUUUUUGCGUUGGAAAUUCUUCUUAGAGGGACUGGUGGCGUCUAGCUGCACGAGAUUGAGCAAUAA
rnacentral:rRNA from 1 species